rnacentral:lncRNA from 1 species
UUUUUUUUUUUCUUUGACACAAAGUAAAAUUAUAAUUAAUAUUGAAUAAAGUAAAAAUGAACUCCUGAGUUCCAGUCCCUUAUGUAACACACCUGGUGUGUGACAGGCACUCAGGAAAUAUUAGUUGCAUGAAUGAAGGCUGCAUUUUCAUUAGAACAACAUGCAGUUCAACCCCUUCAUGUUUCAAUGAGGGUUCAGAUACCCAGAGGGCUAUGUGAUCAUCCUGGAGCCCACUCUGCUAACAAUUAGCAGAACGGAAGCCUUAAUUUCCAGAAUCUAGUGAACUUGAUGAGUCAAGACCAUUGCAAUUGGAAAUCUGUUCUCCUCUGCUGCUGCAUCCCCCGCUUAAUACUCAAGCCAGAAACCAGGAAGGCUGUGGCUUGCCUUUUCACUUCUUGUGUCCUGUUUAAGAAAUAUCUGCUAUCCCAAGCAUCUGGCAUCUUUCUUGACAUACGUAGCAGUUGCUUUUUGACAGCUUGCUUCUGGAGUGAAUGAAUAAAUUAAUAAAUUUAUUCAUUUGAUAUUCAGUGACAUGUGAUAUUCAGUGAUCCAUUUUGCAGAUUGCAAACUCCUAGAGAAGGGCUCAACAGUGAGUGUUGAGGCUGCACAGAGGAGGAAGGUAGCACAAUGAUGGAAGGCUUCCUAAAGAGAUAACACUAACAAAGUUGACCUUAGAAUUGGAGUGCCCGGGUUAGAACCUUGCUGGUACCACCUGCUUACUGCAUGCUUCUGAUGUGAGUUCAGGAGAAGCCACUGGCAAGGACAGCAAAGAACAGGAGAACACUCUAGCUUCCCUGAUAGCAUUCAAGGUGCUGUCCAAACUGACUGUGAUGGCACCCUCCAGACAGACAGCGAUGCCACAUGUUCAAGAUGGCAGAAUCACUAACAGCUUCAAUUCCUGAAUGACUGCAGAGCAAAAUUUCUUACCCGCAACAUACACUCUAUUUUCAGCCUCCCUGGACUGUUACAUAAUGAUACAUAAAAAUAUUUCUUGUGUUGAGGCAUCCCAAAUUUGAUCUAUUUGUCAUCACAGUUUAUCCUACGAAUAUAUUUCUGAUCCAAAUAAUGCUAGAUUCAUGAGAGUUUAUAGUCCAGAGAUUUUUUUUUUUUUUUUUUUUUGAGACAGAAUCUCACUGUCUGCCAGGCUGGGGUGCAGUGGCAUAAUCUUAGCUCACUGCAACCUCCGCCUCCUGGGCUCAAGUGAUCCUCCCUCCUUAGCCUCCAUGAAUAGCUGGGACCACAGGUGUGCACCACCCCACCCAGCUAAUUAUUUUGUAUUUUUUGCAGAGACGGGGUUUCACCACAUUGCCCAAGCUGGUCUCAAACUCCUAGACUUAAGGGAUCUUCCCGCCUUGGCCUCCCAAAAUGCUGAAAUUACAUGUGUUAGCCAUAGUAAUAGUUCCUAGCCAUAGUCCAGAGAUAUUUUAAAAACUUUAGUGUGAGUUAUUUCUCUUUGCUAUAAUUCUCUCAUGCAUUUUGAAAACCUUUUCUGCCAUACAGUGGUUUUUGGGAAGUCCUUUUGGACAGACAUAUCACAGGAUGGAGAAACUAAAAAGAGAGAGAAUGCAUUAAAGAAAAAAUAGUACU